rnacentral:rRNA from 1 species
UACGUAGGGGGCAAGCGUUGUCCGGAUUUACUGGGCGUAAAGAGCGUGUAGGCGGCCAAGCAGGUCCGUUGUGAAAACUGGAGGCUUAACCUCCAGACGUCGACGGAAACCGCGUGGCUAGAGUCCGGAAGAGGAGAGUGGAAUUCCUGGUGUAGCGGUGAAAUGCGCAGAUAUCAGGAGGAACACCGGUGGCGAAGGCGGUUCUCUGGGCCUGUACUGACGCUGAGGAACGAAAGCGUGGGGAGCGAACAGG